AGACAAAUUUUGGUUUUAGUUUGGGGGAAAAAGGAUGAACUGAUCACGAAGCCUAUUUCGUUCAUUCUCGUAUAGAAAAAAACCCCUCCAUGACGGCAGUUGGAUGAAAUAAACAAACGGUACCGAAUGAAAAGCGGCAGUUGACAGAAAAUAUCGUAGCGCAGUGAUUAUUAAAUAACAAUUUGAUUUAAAUGAAGACCUCUCUAGUGGUAUGUGUUCUGAUGAUGAGUUAUCUGCCCUUGACAGAUGGCGGAUGGUUUUUCAGAAGCAUACUGGAUAAAUUCUGCCCUAUCGUUUGUCCUAAAGUCUGUAAAAUAUUUGACGGACCAAUCGGGUCGGUUGUUUGUAAACUGGUCUGUAGUCUGGGAUGUGGUCGACAAAAAAGACACAUCGCUUACUCGACCCAAGGUCACGUGAUUCCACUAGCCAAUCGUUUGGAUGCCUUUGAUAUAGAUGACGAUGGUUUCGUAUCAAAGAAAGAAUUUGGUAUCGCGAUAAACGAUGACGAAUCGAACGAUGAUUUCAACAAGGCCUUUUACAUAGCAGAUAAAAACGGUGACGGUAAACUGACGCCAUCAGAAUUAUAUAAAGGGCCGUUUUUAUUUGAGUUGGAUCUUGAUGGUACCAACACUCUGUAUUGCCAGAAUCUGUUGAAUUCCAGUCGGUCUACCUACCGUUAGUUAUUUGGACUUGAAAACUGUUUAUUUAUAGUCGUAGGGAAUAAAUAUUUGAAUUUGUU